rnacentral:rRNA from 1 species
UACGUAGGGUGCAAGCGUUGUCCGGAAUUAUUGGGCGUAAAGAGCUCGUAGGCGGUUUGUCGCGUCUGCUGUGAAAACUCGAGGCUCAACCUCGAGACGUCGGUUGAAACCGUUUGGCUAGAGUCCGGAAGAGGAGAGUGGAAUUCCCGGUGUAGCGGUGAAAUGCGCAGAUAUCGGGAAGAACACCCGUGGCGAAGGCGGCUCUCUGGGGACGGUACUGACGCUGAGACGCGAAAAGCGUGG